rnacentral:rRNA from 1 species
UACAGAGGUCCCGAGCGUUGUUCGGAUUCACUGGGCGUAAAGGGUGCGUAGGUGGUGAGGUAAGUCGGAUGUGAAAUCUCGGAGCUCAACUCCGAAACUGCAUUGGAAACUACCUCGCUCGAGGGGUUGGAGGGGGGACUGGAAUACUUGGUGUAGCAGUGAAAUGCGUAGAUAUCAAGUGGAACACCAGUGGCGAAGGCGAGUCCCUGGACAACUCCUGACACUGAGGCACGAAAGCUAGGGGAGCAAACAGG